rnacentral:rRNA from 1 species
GACGAACGCUGGCGGCGUGCUUAACACAUGCAAGUCGAACGGAAAGGCCCUGCUUUUGUGGGGUGCUCGAGUGGCGAACGGGUGAGUAACACGUGAGUAACCUGCCCUUGACUUUGGGAUAACUUCAGGAAACUGGGGCUAAUACCGGAUAGGAGCUCCUGCUGCAUGGUGGGGGUUGGAAAUUUUCGGCGGGUGGGGUUGGACGCGCGGCUUAUCAGCUUGUUGGUGGGGGAGUGGCUUACCAAGGCCUUGACGGGUAGCCGGCCUGAGAGGGUGACCGGCCACAUUGGGACUGAGAGACGGCCCAGACUCCUACGGGAGGCAGCAGGGGGGAAUAUUGCACAAUGGGCGGAAGCCUGAUGCAGCAACGCUGCGUGCGGGAUGACGGCCUUCGGGUUGUAAACCGCUUUCGCCUGUGACGAAGCGGGAGUGACGGUAAUGGGUAAAGAAGCACCGGCUAACUACGUG